rnacentral:lncRNA from 1 species
CUUCUUAUUAUUGAUAGUUUUGGGAACAUUUCAAUGUUUCUGUUCAAGGAAUGGCUGGGUCAUGUGUACACAGGGUUUUCAAGGCAUCUGUACUCAGCCACCGAGAAAAUGGUGCCUAUGGUGCAGACGGGGAGAAUCCACCUAGAAUUUGUUGAAUUAAGUUCUUGCACCUGGACAUAAUUGUUGAGCCGCUGUGCUGGGGUUUUCUUAAGCUACGGCUAAACAAAUGAGCUCAAAUUAAACUGGCAUCCAGUGGAGAAGCAACAACUCACUUCAUAUAAUGUUUUUCAAAUAAUUAUUUUUCUAUUACCAUUUUUACCUCAUGAAUAUUUUCCUGGGGGCCAGGGAAGUAAAAAAUGGGGCUAAACAAGAGACAUGAUAAAACUCUGCUGAAGUUGGAGGCUCUGAUGUUAUUGCAGUGUAACUAAGAUAUGGAUUGGUAUAUGGGUAUAAUUCCAGUCAAGCUGGAUUUUUUUUCCAUACUAAACAUAGCAUGGAUUCAUGAAGUACAUUUUAGGAAAUAAUCUCAUGUCUUUAUGCAGAUUCAUAAUUACUGCUACACUUUCUGCCUAUGUAAUGCCAUGACUAUCUUUGCAGGUAGACAAAAAGCAUGUGAGAAUUACGAUGCCCAGAUACAAGAUUUAGUUGUGUUUGUCUCUAGACUUUGUGAAUCUCAUUUGGUCAUGCAUUUUUAAGUUAUUUAUACUUGGCAAUAAACUUCAUACGUUUUCUGGAAAUUCAACAAAUUCAAGAAUUCAGUGACUGAGAAGAGUGAAUUCAUGAAACCAGAAGAAGCUGCCUCUUGUAGCCAGGUAGGACCCCCCCCUACACCACCACCCCCGGUGGAAGGAAUAAGAGCAACAAUAUACCCACCAAACUUUCCACCCAAAAUUUGUCAUGGCUAAAAGCAAUGCAGAAAAAAAGAUGGAGCAGAGACUGAAGGAAUGGCCAACCAAAAACUGGCCCAACUUGAGACCCAUCCCAUGGGCAAGCAUCAAAUCCCUGACACUAUUAAUGAAAUCCUUGCAGACAGAAGUUUAGCAUGGCUGUCCUCUGAGAGGCUCUACCCAGCAGCUGGCUGAAACAGAUGCAGAUACUCAUAGCCAAAUAUUGGCUGAAGGGUGGGGCCUCUUAUGGAAGAGUGUGUGUGUGUGUGUGUGUGUGUGCGCGCGCGCGCGCGCGUGCAGUGGGGGUGGGGGUGGGGGAUUAAAGGCCCUGAAGGGGAUAGGAACUUCACAGGAAGACCAACAGAUCAACUAUCUUGGAUCCUUGGGGCUCUCUGAGACUGAGCCUCCAACCAGAGAACACACUGGACUGAGAUCUCUGGCACACAGAGCUGCCUUUUCUGGCCGCCAUGGGAGAAGGUGCACCUAGCUCUGUAGAGACUUGGUGCACUAAGGUGAGGGAUACCCGAGUGAUUCCACCAUCUCAGUGAAGAGAGGGUUUGGGAAGGUACUCUGGGAGGGAAGAAAUGGGAAGGAAGACAGAAUUUUGGUCUGUAAAUGAAUUAAUUAAAAAUAAAAUAGCACUACUAUCAAACAAACAGACGAAACAAAACAAAAUAAAACAAGAAAGGGAAAUAAGACUAAGGUUUAGAGGACCCAUACGCAGUUUUCUGUGCAUUCGUGCAUAGUCACCUAAUUCAAACUUCACAGACAGCAAAUAGGUGUCUGACAGGAUCCUUACCAGGAAAGGAUGGGAAAUUUUUGGUUCCUUAAAGUUUUCAUUUCAACGAGGGAGGAAAACUAUACCCCCAUAAAUGGAAACAAAGAAAGGAUGUUAUUUCAAUCAAUUUUAAGGACUAUGAAGAACAUAAUAUGGGCUAGCUUAGAUACACUUAGGUUUAUUGGGAAGGUUUUGUGAAGCAUGUGUCAAUAUGUAUAUGUUGCCAAUGUCAACAGAGCUUCUUUUGUACACUGAAUGCCUUGCCACUGCUUAACAUAAAAAAAAAAAAAAGAAAGAAAAUGCUAUACCUAGUUAAAGAUAGAAGGAGCAGAAUUUACAAACUUACAUACGGGUGUACGUUAAUUGUUAACCAAAUACACAGAACACAAAAUAUCAGCAUUGCAAAAUAUUUAAUUCUGAAUAUUUGAACAUAAAUUCUUACAAAACUUUUCACAUUUAUUUUUCUUCAAAAAUUAUCACUCAUAUGUUACAGUAGUUUGUAUAUAUCUAUUUUAUCAUAAAUUUCAUUUUGUUUUGCUAUUAGUAGUACACAAAUAUAUUUUCCCUUUGGAUUUUUCUCCCUAACAAACCUUCAUAUUUCCACUCAUACUCUAUCUAGAAGUAAAUCAGCGUUUCUGCCUGGUGUGGAACAGAAGAGUUUUACCUGCCUAUCAGGUGAAAUUCAGAGCCAACAACAAGGGGAAAUUACGCUUGGAUUCUGAUGUUCUGAGAGUAAGGAUGUAUUUAAAGUCUCAGGACUGAUUCUGAAUUCCAGGACUCCAGCUAGCUGACCUGUGUUCACUGUUCACAGCAAACUUUGCAGCUGAGUGUGGUCAGCAAAGCUGCUAUUGCUGUCAUUUGGCAGCUCUUUCUAAUGUUGGCAAUUCCUUGUCACCUGCAUUGUUUUAUCAAAUACAGACAAUUAGCACCUGAGCUUAGAGCUAGUCCAUGAUACCCACAGAAAGCAGAUAUACCUGCUUUAGGCUGAAAUAUACUAUAAUGGUGUAGUGCAAUCUAUUUAUGAAAUGUAUGACAUGUAAUAAAAAUAGUACAAAAUUACAAACUAAAAAUGUAUUACAAAGAUGAUAAAAAUGGCCAACAUGAAAAUGUGUUCGACUUUACCAAUGAACAGGGAAGCAGAAAUAUAAAUCAUUAUGAGAUAUUCCCUCACAUCUGGAUAACAACAACAACAACAACAACAACAACAACAACAACAACAGAAACAGAAAGAUAAAGUGUGAGCUGGAAAAACGAAGCCCUAUUUAUUAUAUUGGUGGAAAUGAUGAUUGUUGAAAUUAUGGGAAGUAUAUAGAAGGUACUAAAGAAAUUAAAAAUAGAAGUACCAAAAAAGUCAAUUAGCAGUGUUCUGGGUAUAUAGCAAAAGGAAGUGAAAUAAUCUUUUAAAGGCAGCUGCACACCAUGCUCAUUGCAUCUCUGAAAUGCCGAGUGCAACACAAACACACACACGCACACACACACACACACACACACACACACCCACAGAAAAACAGAAACACACACACACAGUGAGAUGUUACUAAGUCUUUAAAAGAGAGAUCAUCUUUCCACUUUUCACUGAGAAACAAAUAUUCUAUUUUCUUAACCAAAUAUAUAAAAUACAGACUAAAAUAGUGAUUACCC